GCCCGGAUAGCUCAGUCGGUAGAGCAUCAGACUUUUAAUCUGUGGGUCAAGGGUUCAAGUCCCUGUUCGGGCG
rnacentral:tRNA from 1 species